CAAAUGGAAUGAGAAAUAUGUACUUAGGAAAUACUAAAUUAUUCAAUACUAAGAAUAAGACUAAUGAAAAAGUAACUGAUGGACGUAAAAACGUAUUCAACAUUAUGCAUUAUAUAAUCACUUUGAAAAUAACUUUGUUCAUUUUUCAGUCUCUUUAUUCUGGUCCAUUAAAUUAACUAGUUAGCCACAAGUACGUUAAAACCACAAAAUUAUAAAACUAGGUCUUUAAACUUCACCGCAGUAUUAACAUGAAAACUACUUUAGUAAUUUUCCUGAUAAAAACUGUGCCUUGUAUUUCUGUUCAUUUAAAUACCACUUCUUAUCCGAUGUAAAAUUAUCUAUGUUAUAAUUAUUUUCUGUUACACAUCGCAUUUCUAUUGUAAGGAAAAAACUCCUUCGAGUUUGAAAUUCGAAAAAUUUCCUAUCGAUUUGUAUCGUGUUAUAAAUAAUUUAAAAACUUGAAGAAGACAAAGACAAUAUCUGUGAACAAAAGGUAAAAAGGAAGGAAAAAUCUGCUGAUUCGGAAGCGUGCUGCUAAUAAUUGAAGCGACGAGUAUACCAAGAAUUAACCGGUGUUAUCUGACUCUACCUCGCUCGACUCUGAUUGUCAGUGCGUCAGGGGUGAAAAUAACGAGAGCUGUAACGCUUUCAUUAUCACGAUAUUAAGCUGGAAAUUUUGUUAAUUUAUGCGGGCAAAUUUUUCACUGAUUCAUGGCUCCAUCGAUCACUCGUCGACCACAAAGUGAUGAUAAUUCGAAAAAUGAGGCAAUUUCAUUUCUGUUUAAUUGCAAUGGCUGAUUAGAAUUUCAGGUGUGAUCGAUCACUCGUCGAUCACAAAGCGAUGAUAAUUUGGAAAAUGAAGCAAUUUAAUUUUCAUUUCAUUUCAAUUACUAACUAGAGUUUCAGGUGUAAUCGAUCACUCAUCGAUCACAAAGAGAUGAUAAUUCGAAAAAUAAGGCAAUUUCGUUUCUGUUUAAUUUCAAAGACUAAAUAGAAUUUCAGGUGUGAUCGAUCACUCGUCGAUCACAAAACGAUGAUAAUUUGGAAAAUGAAGCAAUUCAAUUUCAUUUCAAUUACUAACUAGAGUUUCAGGUAUAGAAAUUAAUUUAUAAUAUUAGAUAAUACUAAGUCGAGAUUCAAGGAGAAAAAGAAAAUGCAAUUAGUCGUAAGUUCGAAAUAGAUCCGUAGGAUGGUCGUGAUGCAAAUGGAAAGGGUUGAACGUAAUUACGAACACGUUUCUUCAUCGAUUCGAUGUCAAUAGGUUUCACAAGACAAUUUAUCGUGAAUUCGUAGGAAUCAAGUAUCGAGGGAAUUUCCAAUUGUUAAGCAGACCACCAGACCACUUCGAUAUGUAAAAGAAAUUGAUCAUUGUGAUCUGUUUGUUAUCUGAGAUUUGUCAUCUGAGAUUUCAGCUGAUCUCUCUAAUUAACAUACAUAAAUGAUCAAUUAAUCUUGCGCGACACUUGUCGGAUUAAUCGACGAUGCAAAUAUCAUAUGAUCUGUAUAUUUUUAAUACCGAUUUAAUAAUAGAUAAGAAACGUCUGAACAAGGUUUAAAUUUCAUUGUGAUAAUAGAUUUAAAAAUAAUACUCGGACGGUAAUUUUGAAACAACUCUGUCGGACAAAAUGCUUUUCUCACUACAAUUCUCUGCAAAUUAUUCGUUCUCAUUAACAUUACAUUAUAUAAAAAAACAAGAUUAACACGUGCUUAAUGAUUUGUAAAUUAGUCAAGUAAAUGUAUUAUUAUCGAAGGUA